AGUUUUAAUAUAGAUUCUGCUGUAUCUGAAGAUGGAAAAUCUUUAAGAAGAAAAUGGAAAACUGAACCCACAAAGAAAGAGGGGACUACUCAGACACCACCAUGUUUAUGUUCCUGAAAUCUUAUAAAGGUCAGUUUUCCUGGGGCCAUGUGAGCGGCGGACUCGGGCAGCCUACUUGCUCGGCAUGGUCCUCUCUGUGCUGUUACACAUUUGUGAUCAGAGGGGUUGCAAAUAAGAAACAGAGUUACUGCCUCGGGAAAUUCUCAUCCAGUUUGAGGGAGAGAUUGAAAUGAAGUCACAACAUUUAUAAACUAACAUAUCACCGAGAGGGAACUACUGUAUCGUGAAGCUGGAUCUCACAGCUGGCACUAGUGUCUGAGCAGCCUCUCUCUGAUAUGCAAAAUUAUGACGGCUUGGAAGGCUCGAAGAGAAGCGUCUGGAAUCAGAAUUGCUCGGUGGAAAGGCAAAGCAGGAGGUAACCCAAGACCUCAGGAGGAAUGAAUGCCAGCCCAACAGAAACCACAGUCCCUAGGAGCUCCCCGGUCUGCCAACUAUGCAGUAAUAGGCUCCAGUGUUAAGCCCAAGAAAACUGGAUAAAGAGCUUUAAUCACUAGGAGGCGAACUGGGAGGACAGGGCCUGAGAUGGCUGAACUUUGGAGAUAACUAGUUACAAAAAGCUGGAAGAACGUUGGUAUGCUCGUCAGCCCACAGGUAGUUUUUAUCUGUUGCUCUCUGCCCUGGUAGGAAAAUUUGGCUUGAGGUAAAGCAUCCAGCUACUGUCCCAGUAAUUUGACUCUUGAUCAGCUUUCUGAUGUGUCUUUCUGGUGUUUGCAAUAAUAGCUGUCAUUUGCUUUAUCUCUUGAAAUGAAUGAAAAUUAUUGAUAACCAACAAGGAAGGGAUCAUGGGUGUCAGGAGUUAGAAGGCCGGGGUCAGCACAAACUCACAGAGUCUAUUGAUGUAAAUCUGGCAAAGGUGACCUUUGGGGUCACGGGACCAGUUACAACAUUUG